UACGAAGGGUGCAAGCGUUACUCGGAAUUACUGGGCGUAAAGCGUGCGUAGGUGGUUUUUUAAGUCCGUUGUGAAAGCCCUGGGCUCGACCUGGGAAUGGCAGUGGAUACUGGAAAGCUAGAGUGCGGUAGAGGGUAGUGGAAUUCCCGGUGUAGCAGUGAAAUGCGUAGAGAUCGGGAGGAACACCCGUGGCGAAGGCGGCUCUCUGGGACGGUACUGACGCUGAGACGCGAAAGCGUGGGGAGCGAACAGG
rnacentral:rRNA from 1 species